AUACUUCCCUGGCAGGGGAGAUACGAUGGUCACAAAGGUGGUUUUCCCAGGACGAGCGUCAUCCAUUGCACUCUGGAUGUGCUGACCCCUGAGAUUUCCCCAAAUAUGGGAAACGCGACUGCAUAAUUUGUGGUAGUGGGGGACUGCGUUUGUGCUUUUCCCUG